AUGCGAUUGAACUGCCUCUUCAUCAUCUUGAGGGUGAGGAGGAGGCCAGGAGAACCCUUUUUUUUUUUUUUCCCACUCGGCUGUCCCUGCUCAGCACCCCUGGCUCACGCUUGGCAUGGGACGCCCGCGGCCCCCUGGGCUCCCCGGAGCCACCGCGCCUCGUGCCGUUGCCCAAGCCCCUCUCUCCCUCCUCGCUCCUUCCUCCUUCCCUCGUUCCCCCUUUCGCUCUUUGCUCGUCCCCUCCCUCGGCCCUCCCUGGGGAUGCCCUGCCUGCUUUCUCUUCCCCUCCCGCGGGCUCCUUUUCUCUCUCGCUCCCUCUCUUUUGCUCAGCUUCCUCCCUCCUCCUCCUCCUCCUCCUCCGGCCGCCCCUCGCUGCGGAUCAGAAUUCGCACUGAAAAUAUAUACAAGUCUGUUCUGGAACCAAACAAGAUCUGCAAAGGAAAAAAAAACAACAAAAAACCAAACCCCUACAAAACCCUGAAGAGACCAGAAAGGGAAGUAAGACACAGCAGAACCCCAGCACAAAGACCUCGCUUCCCCCUCUCCUCUGCCACUCGCUGCCCCACAGCUCCCAGCCCUCUUCCCCCUUCGCUGCCCCCAAAAUCUCCCAAAUCCUCUCCCCCUGGUGCAAGUUUCCUCCUAGCUGCUGUGCAGGAGCACAGCUUGCCCCCGAGAUCCACCCUGGGGAAGGGAAGCAGCUCCUGGGGUCACAAACCCCGUGAGGACGGGGACUGCCGGGGCCGUGCCACCCCCUGGUCUCCUCCCCGCUCUCGUGUCACAGUGAUCAGGCGGCUGGGCGAGCCCCCUCCCCGCUGCAGGGAGAGAAAAAUUGGGGGAAAAAAGGUGCACAGGGCACAGCCCAACCCCUUUUUCUCCCCCCCCCACAGCGUGGUGCCGGGCUCCCCGUGCAGAGCUUCGUGGUGCCCCCUGGUGCUGCGCUCUGCCCACCUCCCUCCAAGACCUCUGCCUGCCGCUGGAAGGAGGGGGGCAGUGGAAAAUCCCCCCCCCGACACCCCAAAACGAGGAUGGGUGGUGCUGGAGACACCCAAAGCCCCGUUCAGCCUCGUUCUGCACCAGCUCCAGGGUGAGCCCACCAGAAAGGGGACUCAGCUCCCAGGAGAGAGCAAGGGGGAAGCCCCGAGAACCCAGCAUUUGCUGACACAAAAGCCCUAA
rnacentral:lncRNA from 1 species